CGGAAUCCCAGCUCCACUUACCAGGCCGCGGCUACCCCGCCGUCCCCCCCGACUCCCGCCACCCCGCUCUCUCAGGCUCUUCAGGAUCCAAGUCCGUAGGCCCUUUAAGGGGUCUAGUUGCCGUUUGCGAGGCCCUGGGACUUUGGUCCCAGACAGCGGGGAUCCGGAUGGCUUCCGUGCGGAUCCGAGAGGCCAAGGAGGGAGACUGUGGAGAUAUCCUGAGGCUGAUUCGGGAGCUAGCCGAAUUCGAAAAACUCUCGGAUCAGGUGAAGAUCAGUGAAGAAGGUGGGGGCUCAGCGCCCAGGUUCUGGCGGAGGCUGGGGAGGAAAUGAGGGAUGGGUUCCCCAGGCGACAGCUCCAGGCUGGGCAUACACCCACGUCCUCUUUCUCUAUCUCUUUGUCACAACUCCAAUCUCGGCAGCCCUGAGAGCAGAUGGCUUUGGAGACAAUCCUUUCUAUCACUGUUUGGUAGCAGAGAUUCUUCCAGCGCCCGGGAAGCUACUGGGGCCCUGCGUGGUGGGCUAUGGGAUAUACUAUUUCAUCUACAGUACAUGGAAGGGACGCACCAUUUAUCUGGAGGAUAUCUAUGUG
rnacentral:lncRNA from 1 species